rnacentral:lncRNA from 1 species
CUUUUUGAAGAUGAAAGAAGAUAAAUCACGUGUAGGAUUUUUUCAUCUAAAGGUCUAUGUGAAAAUAAGUUGUUUUAUUAUUAUCAAUGUUUUCAUUAGGAUGUUGCAAAAGUACUUGAUGAAUUGCAAAUGACUCUGUAAAUGGAUGAUGUUGCUAUGAGUUUACAAAAUGUUCAUAAAUGGAUGAUGUUGCUAUGAGUUUAUAAAAUUUUCAGCCCAAUUCGUGAACUCUUGACUUGGGACUGUUCCUGUGUCUCAUAGUUCACACAUGCCCCGUCAGACAAAUUGUCUGGUAGAUUUGAAUUUCUGCCAUGGGUAAUGAGUAGGUUUUGGAGAGUGGAACAAGGCUAUCUUGGGUUUCACAUUCCUCUGAUUUCUCCAGAAUAUUUCCUGAGGACUGUGAAAGAAGGCAGUUCUAAACGCAAAGAAACUCUGGUAUUGAAAUGGUUUUGACAUUCCAGGGAAAAUCCACCAAAUUAAGACAAGAACUGUGGUAGAGGGUGUACACAUUUUUAUUGGUUGAACUGCUAUAAUUCUGGAUACAGUUCAUUCAAAUCUGCAAAUAAUUUUAGGAUUUCAUUUGUAAAAAAAUGUAGUAGCAUGGGAAACCUCAUUGGACUCAAGAAACAAAGGCAUCACAAAAAUGAUGAAUUCUCUGUUUAUUAUGGAGGGAUCAAGUCUGGUAAUAAAUUCAGGUGGACGUGCAAGAUAGUCAGUAUCUCACAUGAUGCUCAAUGAUGCCAGCCUUCACACAGAUGCCUUCUUUCUGAAACUGUUGUUUCUCUUUGGUUGGCCCUUUGUAGGGAACUGCCUAUCAUCAUGAUAACCACCUCUAACUGAAACUCACCAUAUGCCGGUGGUGACCACCAUGCUGAGCUCUUUCCAUACUGUUUGGUUUUUCCCUGUACUAUUGGUAAUCCUGUCACUAACCCUGUGAAUUAGGGACCAGUACAAACCUCAUUUUAGAGCUGAGCAAGCAGAGUCUCCAAUAAGUUGAAGAAUUUGCUAAUGAGAGGGUUUGCCUUGGUUUGCCUGACUCAGACCUCUCUGAUCCAGGAAGUGGGAUCCAGGUGAAAGGCUUAUUUUCUUCUUAGUGUGGCACAUAUGAAAUAUUAGUCUUUAUGUUUCUCUCUUUGGAGCUGGAAACCUGUGAAUUACCACAUCUUGUAGCUUCAUACUCUUGGCCAGGCCCUAGUAGUGCCUGUGGCAGGAGGGGCAGCAGGGAGGGGUUCCUUGCUUAGGGUUCUCCUUGCAGACUAUGACUUGGCCCCUUGGGUCCUGAUCUCUUCCUCUCUGGCAGUGUUGGCUGUGAAUCCAUUGGGAAACAAGUAUCUGUGGAUACGCAUGUGUAUGUUUCCGUGAAAAAGUUGGUUCAAAUCAUUCAGCCUGGCAUUACUGGAAAUCUCUAACAAGAUUUACAGCGGUGCCACCCCAAUGAAUUCCACCACACUGAAUUCAUUGUUCAUUGAGAGAGAUUAGAAAAUGAAGAUACCAUGCCCCUUGGCUUCCCUGCUAAAGGAGACACUGGGAAAGGAGAGGAAUCUGACACUUUGGGGGUGCGACCCAGCAAUCUGCACUCUGUCAAACUCGUGAGGUGAUGCCCAUGCAUGCACAACUUGGAGCACAUCGUCUGACCUCAGGUAAUCACGGUGAUCCCAGCUGCAUUCAUUUCUUGGGGCUGCCAGAACAAACUACCGCAGACGGAACGGCUUCAGAAGAAAUAUGUAUUCUUUCCCAGUUGUGGAGGCCGGAAGUCUGAGAUCAAGAUGUUGGCAGAACUGGUUUCUUGUGAGACUGAGGGAAGGAUCUGUUCCAGGCUUCUCUUCUUGGCUUGUAGAUGGCCAUCUUAUCCCGGUGUCUCUUCUCAUUGUCUUCCUUUAAGUGUGCCUGGGUCCAGGUUUUUCCAUUUCAUAAGGACACGGUCACAAUAGAUUAGUGCCUACAUUCAUGAUUUUUUUCUUAACUAAUUACAUCCACAACAAUCUAUUUCUAAAUAAGGUCACACUGGGGGUUAGGACUUCACUGCAACUUUGAGGGGACACAUUUCAACCCAUAAUGCCAUCCCAUGCCAGUGGGAAGCUUAAGGACCAGGCAAAUGCUUAGCAGAGCGUGGCUUUCCCUGAGUCUACGGUUCUUGGCUGGGCAAGUGACUUAGCUACUUAGCUUGCACCUGGCAGGUGUUGACUAAAGGCAUGCUCACUUUUCCCUCUGCACGUGAAGGAAUAAAAACAAUACUGGGAAUUCUACAACUUGUUUGGUAUGUAGUGGUGAGUCUGACAUUGUGUGGAGCAAGGCUGGAAGUCACCAAAACCUGACUCUUUAAAAAUCUCUAAGUUCCUGGACCAGUAGUUUUCAAACCGCUCAUGCCCUCUGGACUUGCGAUUAAUGCCCUAAGAGUCUCUAUUUUAUACAACAGCUUGAGCUGGGGUCUUAGGAAUCUGCCACUGAAAUUUGCUGCACACACUUAUAUAGAUAUAGGUAUUUUUGAACUUGUAUCAUGCCAACAUAUUCUUUUUUAGCUUGAUUUUAUUUUUUAUUUAGCAAUAUAUUAUAUGCUGAGACCAGCUCGGUCGGGGAGACCCUAACCCAGUGGCGCUAGAGGAAUUAAAGACGCAUACACAGAAAUAUAGAAGUGUGAAGUGGGAAAUCAUGG